UACAGAGGGUGCAAGCGUUGUUCGGAAUUAUUGGGCGUAAAGGGCGCGUAGGCGGUGCUGUAAGUCUGUAGUGAAAUCUCUGGGCUCAACUCAGAGUCUGCUAUAGAAACUGCAGUGCUGGAGUGUGGGAGAGGUGAGUGGAAUUCCCGGUGUAGCGGUGAAAUGCGUAGAUAUCAGGAGGAACACCUGUGGCGAAAGCGGCUCACUGGACCAUAACUGACGCUGAUGCACGAAAGCUAGGGGAGCAAACAGG
rnacentral:rRNA from 1 species